rnacentral:rRNA from 1 species
GUGGGGAAUUUUGGACAAUGGGCGAAAGCCUGAUCCAGCCAUGCCGCGUGCAGGAAGAAGGCGCUACGCGUUGUAAACUGCUUUUAACCGGGAAGAAACCCCAGGACGUGUCCUGGGUUGACGGUACCGGAGGAAUAAGCACCGGCUAACUUCGUGCCAGCAGCCGCGGUAAUACGAAGGGUGCAAGCGUUAUCCGGAUUCAUUGGGUUUAAAGGGUGCGUAGGCGGAGCGUUAAGUCAGUGGUGAAAUCCUGCAGCUUAACUGUAGACUUGCCAUUGAUACUGGCGCUCUUGAGUGCGCUUGAAGUGGGCGGAAUGUGCCGUGUAGCGGUGAAAUGCUUAGAUAUGGCACAGAACACCAAUUGCGAAGGCAGCUCACUAAGGCGAUACUGACGCCGAGGCACGAAAGCGUGGGGAUCGAACAGGAUUAGAAACCCGGGUAGUCC